rnacentral:rRNA from 1 species
GACGAACGCUGGCGGCGUGCUUAACACAUGCAAGUCGAGCGAUGAAACACCUUCGGGUGCGGAUUAGCGGCGAACGGGUGAGGAACACGUGAGGAAUCUGCCUUCCACUCUGGGAUAACUCCGGGAAACCGGGGCUAAUACCGGAUACUUUCAACUGGCGGCAUCGCCGGUUGAAGAAAGUUUUUCGGUGGAAGAUGACCUCGCGGCCUAUCAGCUUGUUGGUGAGGUAAAGGCUCACCAAGGCGACGACGGGUAGCCGGCCUGAGAGGGCGACCGGCCACACUGGGACUGAGACACGGCCCAGACUCCUACGGGGGGCAGCAGUGGGGAAUAUCGGGCAAUGGAGGAAACUCUGACCCAGCGACGCCGCGUGAGGGAUGAAGGCCUUCGGGUUGUAAACCUCUUUCAGCAGGGAAUAAGCGAAAGUGAAGGUACCUGCAGAAGAAGCACCGGCUAACUAUGUGCCAGCCGCCGCAGUAA